ACAACAACCAGCUAUAGCUCCGACCGCUUCCACCUGCUUCCUCACAUGUUGUCCAGACGUUUGUCAUUUUGACAGUUGGUGGACGGUGACAAAAUGGACGGACAUGUCUGCAGUGUCCCCAGCACAUCUGGGAGGGGCCCUCAGGUUUACAUAGGUCCAUGUGUGACCUGUGAGGUGGGCGUGGCUGAGUCUAUAAUGUUUACCUGUGCUGAGCCUACUGCCCUCUGCCCACCACGCUGGACCACAGAGGGGCCCCUGGGAGCCCAGUCCAGCCAAUGAGGCGGAGCAGAACCACCAGGGUCAGGACGGAGAAGCCCAGCAGCACCAGGACCCGCAGCAGGACCCCCGCUGUAGGAGCUGCAAGAGAUCACACCGACCUCCAUGAGCUGAUGGUACAACGCCUUGAGUGGUUACAGAGGGUGAUGGAGGCCAUAUACCAUUAUAACAACCAACAUGGGGUUGAGUCUGAAACCAUAGAGAAUUAAACAGGCUUUAUACAUAAAUAUUAGGAUGAAAGAGGGUUGGAUGGUCUACCUAAGGUGUACAUAUCUGGCCAUGGUCUGCUAUUCAAAAUGACUAAAGGUUAAAACCGACACACUAUAGAAACGAUUUGAUGAUAGA